rnacentral:rRNA from 1 species
UACCAUAUGAAUAAGGAUCGGCUAACUCCGUGCCAGCAGCCGCGGUAAUACGGAGGAUCCGAGCGUUAUCCGGAUUUAUUGGGUUUAAAGGGAGCGUAGGCGGAUUGUUAAGUCAGUUGUGAAAGUUUGCGGCUCAACCGUAAAAUUGCAGUUGAUACUGGCAGUCUUGAGUACAGUAGAGGUGGGCGGAAUUCGUGGUGUAGCGGUGAAAUGCUUAGAUAUCACGAAGAACUCCGAUUGCGAAGGCAGCUCACUAGACUGUUACUGACACUGAUGCUCGAAAGUGUGGGUAUCAAACAGGAUUAGAUACCCUGGUAGUCCACACAGUAAACGAUGAAUACUCGCUGUUUGCGAUAUACAGUAAGCGGCCAAGCGAAAGCAUUAAGUAUUCCACCUGGGGAGUACGCCGGCAACGGUGAAACUCAAAGGAAUUGACGGGGGCCCGCACAAGCGGAGGAACAUGUGGUUUAAUUCGAUGAUACGCGAGGAACCUUACCCGGGCUUAAAUUGCAACAGAAUAUAUUGGAAACAGUAUAGCCGUAAGGCUGUUGUGAAGGUGCUGCAUGGUUGUCGUCAGCUCGUGCCGUGAGGUGUCGGCUUAAGUGCCAUAACGAGCGCAACCCUUAUCUUUAGUUACUAACAGGUCAUGCUGAGGACUCUAGAGAGACUGCCGUCGUAAGAUGUGAGGAAGGUGGGGAUGACGUCAAAUCAGCACGGCCCUUACGUCCGGGGCUACACA